CACAGCUUGUUGGGGUAAUGGGCAUAUUUGCGGUUGUAGGUGCUCACAUAGCGGCGGAAGCAGAGGGCAGCCCUCCUGUCGCACUCGCAGGUCCACCUCUGGCAGGUGGUCUUGCCGGCUGGAUGAAAUAGUCCAGGAUCUGCCCCUGACAAGGCCGAAGGUCACAUCAGGAGGGGGAUCCAGUCUCAAGCUGCCCCUCCCCACAACAUGUGGAUUGCUCCGGGUCUGUCCACUCACCACAGAAGAUGUCUUGCUGGCCGACAGAGAAAAGGUACUUUUCCAGUUUGGGUUCACAGCCCAGCUUCCCCAGACGCCCAUAGCAACAGUCAUGGGCGUGGCAGCACCUGUGGGGUCAUGGUCAACUGGAGGGGCCUGUGAACCAGGCCAGGCUGGACAGGGAAGGCUGGGGCACAGCCCAAAGGAGCUCGGAGGAGAGAGGGUCAGUUGCUGGUCUCUCGGUGCCCCCAGAUCCUUCCCCCUCCCAGGGUGCUCCUCCCAGAGGGUUCCCCUUGCUGGCCACCUCCUCACCAGUCUGUCUGGUCCACUGGCCAGUGGGACCCACCGAUGCCACAGUAGCAGCCGUAGUCAUUGUACUGCAGAGCUGACUUCCCUGUCAUCCUCUCGAUCAUCACCCCAAACUGGACCAGGUUCCCGCUGGCCAUGGCCACUGUGGAGGAGGAGGGAGCCUGUCACCCAGGGCCCACCCCUCAUGUCACUCAAAUCUGAUUCCAGACAGCUCAACAUUUGUCUAGUGAAGCUUCUCUCCCCAAAGCACCCCGUCACCAAUAACAACAAUGAUGCUAAGUAGUGACCCCUCCGGUGGCAUCCUUUGCGUCGUAAUCCUAUCGACCCCACUCCUACACGUCGGCCACACCCCCCCACCCUCCUCCACCACCCCAGGAAUAUCCCUCACUCACCCUUCUGGGGACCCCCAUUGGCUUUUCACCUCUCUCCCAAAGACCUUCAUUGUACCCCCAGCUGUUAGCUCCGGUCUCCUCCGAGAGUGUUCUGUCCCCUGAGGUCUCACAGACACCACAGGACAUGAUUCCUAACUCCCUCAAGGGACCCCCCUGAAUUCCUCCAGAUCCUCCCAAUGCAGCCAUGGCGCGGUGCCCACCGAGGCAGGUUGGAGCCAAAAAUGGAGCCAGUACAGGGAGGAGCCCGAGGUGCUGCUGGGGUCCCUGCCAACCCCUGUCCAUGCUCCCACCCCUCCUCGGGCUGCACUCUCCCCCUUACUCCCCCAUCUCCUCCAGCCACUGCUGGCUUGGGCAGAACUGGCUUAUCCCCUGGUGGCAAGAAGAGGGGGUCCCCAGUAGUUGGUACCCAUGGUGCCCUCUGGAGAACCAAGCUCAGGGGCAUCCAGCAGGCUCCCGGUUGCCAGAUAGGGGGGGCGGGAAGGGGGACUGUCACAGGUCACGAGUUCACUUACCCAGGAGGCAAAGGAAGGCCAGAAGAUGGGGAGGGUUCAUCUUGGGGGUCUCGGAAGAGGUGAGCAGGGGGCAGAGGAGCCUGAGAGUGGAAGGGAGUGAGCAGGGGCGCUCUGAAUUCAGGGCACCUCCCAGUCAGUUAAAUACCCAGUUCUGUCCACUCCCCGUCAUUAACCCCUGAGUGCCCAGUGAUGCAACGAGCCUUCAGGUCUGAGACUCUGGCCAAGUCCCCAGAGGAGGGGCCAGCUGGGCCCACAGCCCAGGAAGCAGGGGAUGUAAUGGCUCUCCCCUCUCAUGUCCUCCGUCACCUCCCCUUUCCUAGCCACUGUCCUGGUGCCCCUGGUACCCAGGGCCUGGGGCUGGGCUUUUCUUUCUUGACAUCUUUCCCUCGUCCUAUUUUAUCAAUUCGGCGACUGAGACCCAGAGAGGAGGAGAAACUCGAGCUCUCACAGCAGGAGUGCCACGUGCCACGUCUGCCCCAUUUCCACAUUCCCACUGGGUGAAUGGAGGCAAGACGCCCUCCCCAGGCCUUCCCCGCUCCCGACCUGCUACUGGGAUAACUUGACCAUCCACUUCCAUCAACGUUCAGGGCCGGGAGCUGCUGGCCCUGGCCUGGGAGUCCUGGUUCUGCCACUUAUUACGUGGCAGAUGCUUUACCUUGCUUGGAUCCUCAGUUUUCCUGUGUAGAUGACGGGGUAGAAGGCAUCCCACCCUUGCCUCCUUUGUGGGAGGACAGGAAACUCCAAUGUGACUAGGCAGUGGCCCUCAUGGAACCUUGGGCACCCUGCUGAGCCCCUCACAAGCAAGAUCAGCUGAGCCGCGCGUCCUGUGUGCUAUGACCACGACCACUCCCAUCUUACAGAGGAGGGAACCGAGGCUCAGGCCUAAGUAACUGAACCCUAGGGAUCCUAUAGACCUCUUUGAACAAAGUGGAGGAUCACCUUAUUCCUGGAAGGACUGAUUGCCCAUCCAGUCAGUAAACUACAUUGAGGACCUACUAUGUGCUGGAGAGCGAAACCAGGCCUGGUUCUCUAUUGGCUGGAGUCUUUGAAGAUUCUGGAGGUCUGGGAGCUUUCAGGCAUGGCUGGAUCAUGGCUCUGGCUCUGUUUCCUUUGCAGUUCUUCCUCUCCUGCUCCUUCUCAGGGGACUUCUUGUGUGGUUUCAAGGUGUCUGCAUGUGCCACAAGGGCCUCCUGCUUCCUCAUUCCCGUGGGGGAAAGUAGAAGAGGCAAAUCUUCCCAUGGUCAUCCCUCAAAGCCCUCAACUUUGUUUUAUAGGAACAACAUGGGCCAAUCUUUGUUGCAAAGAGGGUUCGAUGGAUUGGCUUGUCCUUUGAGGCUCACCCUUGGUUCCAGGGAAGGGGAAUAUGUCACCCAACUGCCCAGUUGCUGUGCCAUAAGGGAAGGGAGACUCCCCAAGCAAAACUCUGGAUUCUGUUAGGAGGGCAAAUAGGUGCUGCAGAAGCCAUUGGAGUGUGUUCCUCUACCCUGUGUGCCAGAACCCGGGGUAUUUCUGGAACCACCUUCAGCAUAUCCAGAAGUGCCUUUUAAAUCAGAGGUAGGAUGAGGAGAAAGGCUUGGUCUUUUGAGGUGAGGGAUGAAAAACAAAUUUAAACUAAUUCGAUAAAAUCGCAAAGCUAGAACUACCCCCAGAGAACCAUCCGGAAGACCUUCAAUAGAUUCGGGCGACUCUGGAGAUAUUCUCUCUGAGCCCCGGAAUCUUCAUCCAGGGAUAUGAAUUUUGCUGUUCCAAGUUGUUGGAGGACAUGCAACUGACAUCCAGGAAGUCACCAUACCAAGAAUGCCCCAGGAUGUCCCCUACCAGCCAGAACACAAACAAAACCAUUGAAGGAACUGGACUCCCUUACACAGAGAGAAAGGACAACCACGGGAAGAAAAACCAGCAAGGUAAGAUGUAAGAACAAACAGAACCGAAGCAAGGAGCUCAGGGGCUCUCAGAAAUCUGCAACACAAAGGAGCUGCCAGAAGUCAGAGGGAGCCGCCUGAGCAGAAGCAAACACCUUGAGUUGCCUGGAGAUGCUCAAAAUAGGUCGGAAUUAAUGGUUCCCACAUCCUUGCUCAGAGAGAAAAGACUCCAACAGGUUCAGCUUAGCAGACAUUUAUGUUUCCAACACUGUGUCGACGGACAGAUGGAAAGGCUCCCCGCUGAUCCCGGUGGGCACAGACAGGUUAAUGCAUGCGCGUCUGUAGCAGGGGUGUGGCGUAGAGCAUUUGGGGAGUCACAGAGGAGGGGACAAUUAAUUCUGCUUGGACAGCCUUCAAAGAGAGCUGUGGAGCAGCAAGCAGGGCUGUCCCCAGAGCUGGGACCCUGAAGGGUAAGUAGGGUUCAGCUGAUGGUCAGGAGGGACAUAGAACAGGAGCUGUGGGCGCUGAGGCCCAGUCCUACGAAUACCUUUCCUUUCCUCUGCAGGGCAUCCCCUGUCCCUUUGAUAUCAUCACUUAGUGUCUAUGAUCAGAGCUGCCCAUCAUAAUGAGGCACAUGACCCAGCCAGCCAAUCAGUCUUUCUCCUGGGACUCUUUUCCUCAGAAUUUGUGCUAGCUUAAGAAGAGCAGAGCCAUUUGGUCUUUGGGUCCUAAAGAGAUUAUUCAUGAGGUCUGAUGACUGAAACUUUCCAGGUCCUCAUCUUCCCAAGGCCUGGUGGAUUAACUCCUCCUUCUAUUUCAUGAGCGGUCCAGCUUUCUUUCAUCAAUUUUUUUUUUUUUUUUUUGGUUUUAGCCAGAAUAAAUUGCAAACAAAGAACGUUAAUCGAAAUGGCAGUUGGUGCCAGGAUGAGGAUUAUAGACGAUAGAUCCCGAGGGAAAGAGGGAAUCUGGGAUAGGAUUGCGGGGCAGAGAUGCUUGGGGCCUUAGUGGUGGCUGCCAUUCAGGAGGGAGGCCCCUGGAUGAGAUGGUGCUUUGACAGUAUCAGGUCAAUUAAAGAGGGAAGAACUUAACAUCUCCAGCAGUGUUCGCCAUAUGAUAUUUAAGAUUUGUUUAUUUCUUUUGUUCUUUCCUAAUGGAAUGUAAAUUCCUUGAGGGAAGGGAGCUUUCAGGCAUGGCUGGAUCAUGGCUUGCACAGAGCAGGCCCUGGUGAUGAACCAGUGCACACAUGCGUUAACAGCAAGCUCUAGCUUAGAAUUUCUAGACUAAAACCCACACAGGUCAUUGCAGAAAGGAUGGAAGGAACUUGAUCUUCAUUCUCAAAAAUCUGGGGAGGAACUGUGGAAAUCAAUGUUGAAGCUUUCUCCUCUAAGAAUAAAACUUGAGGUCAGCUUGGAUUUAUUAGCGUUGAGAUAAGAUGUUUCUUCUAGGUCUGGUUUAACAAGAGAUAGACUUUAACAUUCAUGAAAAAGCUAUGGAAGUGGAAACAAAAAGAAAACACUAAGAAUUUAACUCAGCGAGAAGCAAUUGUGGUGUCCUAAACAUGAGAAAAAUGUACCACCUUCCUUUAAAUAAGGAGGGGGGGUGUUGUGACUGAUUGCACAAAAAGCAAAGUCAAUCUAACUAUCUGCUGCUUACUUAUAAAAGCACAUAUAAAAAGCUACUCAUGGCAAGGUAUUACAUGUCGAGUAAAAGAUCUUUUGAACUUUCACAAUUGUGGGAAAUUGAGGGCUUGCUACCAUGAUUUAAAAAGCCACAGGAAUAAAGCAUUAAAGAGCUAGUGUUACUCUAUAAUGGUAAAAGAUACAUAGCAGAAAGCAAUGACCUGUGGCUGGGGACUAACUGCUCAUUUUCCAGAUAUUUAUUAUUAAACCCAUUAAUGAAGUACAAAUGGAUGGCUGCCAAGGAAGCAGAGGAUACUCAUGUCGAAGAAAUAGAAAGCAUGACCCUUAUAUACAUUCACAGAAGAGAAAAGGAAAAUGGCUGAAUAUUUUUGACCAAAAAACUUAAGCGGCUCCUCUGUCUUUACCGGAGACUCUCUUCAAGGAUUGCAAGGAUAAAGGAACUCUGCUAAAUAGUCUGUUUUGCAUUGUAGACAAGGAUGGUUAUUCUUGUGGGGAGUGUGUUCCCUGUCUCUGGCGUUUCCAUCCAACAUGUCAAACACCUGUGGGUUAACACUCCUGGUCUCCCUCCACCCAUUCCCUCAUUCCUCCCUGCG